rnacentral:tRNA from 1 species
GUCGUCGUGGCCGGAGUGGUUAAGGCGACAGACUUGAAAUCUGUUGGGCUCUGCCCGCACAAGUUCGAAUCUUGUCGGCGACG